rnacentral:rRNA from 1 species
UACAGAGGUCUCAAGCGUUGUUCGGAUUCAUUGGGCGUAAAGGGUGCGAGUAGGCGGCGUGGUAAGUCGGAUGUGAAAUCUCGGAGCUUAACUCCGAAACUGCAUUCGAUACUGCCGUGCUUGAGGACUGGAGAGGAGACUGGAAUUUACGGUGUAGCGGUGAAAUGCGUAGAUAAUCGUAAGGAAGACCAGUGGCGAAGGCGGGUCGCUGGCCCGGAUACUGACGCUGAUGCACGAAAGCGUGGGGAGCAAACAGG